rnacentral:tRNA from 1 species
CAUAAAUGUAAGUUUAUCUUACAGAUAGUACUUGCAGUUUAAUGAUAUAAUUUUGUUAUUAUUGGAAGGA